rnacentral:rRNA from 1 species
GAUGAACGCUGACAGAAUGCUUAACACAUGCAAGUCUACUUGAUCCUUCGGGUGAUGGUGGCGGACGGGUGAGUAACGCGUAAAGAACUUACCUUGCAGUCUGGGACAACGUCUGGAAACGGACGCUAAUACCGGAUAUUAUGAUUGAAUCGCAUGAUUUAAUUAUGGAAGCUACAUGCGCUGCGAGAGAGCUUUGCGUCCCAUUAGUUAGUUGGUGAGGUAACGGCUCACCAAGACGAUGAUGGGUAGCCGGCCUGAGAGGGUGAACGGCCACAAGGGGACUGAGACACGGCCCUUACUCCUACGGGAGGCAGCAGUGGGGAAUAUUGGACAAUGGACCAAAAGUCUGAUCCAGCAAUUCUGUGUGCACGAUGAAGUUUUUCGGAAUGUAAAGUGCUUUCAGUUGGGAAGAAGAGAGUGACGGUACCAACAGAAGAAGCGACGGCUAAAUACGUGCCAGCAGCCGCCGUAA